AGUGAACGCUGGCGGUAGGCCUAACACAUGCAAGUCGAACGGCAGCACAGUAAGAGCUUGCUCUUACGGGUGGCGAGUGACGGACGGGUGAGGAAUACAUCGGAAUCUACUUUUUCGUGGGGGAUAACGUAGGGAAACUUACGCUAAUACCGCAUACGACCUACGGGUGAAAGCAGGGGAUCUUCGGACCUUGCGCGAUUGAAUGAGCCGAUGUCGGAUUAGCUAGUUGGCGGGGUAAAGGCCCACCAAGGCGACGAUCCGUAGCUGGUCUGAGAGGAUGAUCAGCCACACUGUAACUGAGACACGGUCCAGACUCCUACGGGAGGCAGCAGUGGGGAAUAUUGGACAAUGGGCGCAAGCCUGAUCCAGCCAUACCGCGUGGGUGAAGAAGGCCUUCGGGUUGUAAAGCCCUUUUGUUGGGAAAGAAAAGCAGCAGGUUAAUACCCCGCUGUUCUGACGGUACCCAAAGAAUAAGCACCGGCUAACUUCGUG
rnacentral:rRNA from 1 species